CCCGAUAAAUUCGGGCGUCGCCGGUGCAUGAGAGUUAGGCUCAUGGUACGAGAUAGUGAAAAUCCCCGGAG
rnacentral:ncRNA from 1 species